UACGUACUGUGCGAACGUUAUUCGGAAUCACUGGGCUUAAAGGGUGCGUAGGCGGUCAAUUAAGUAGGGUGUGAAAGCUCUCGGCUCAACCGAGGAAAUGCGCUCUAAACUGAUUGACUUGAGUGAGAUAGGGGUGUGCGGAACUUCCGGUGGAGCGGUGAAAUGUGUUGAUAUCGGAAGGAACACCAGCAGCGAAAGCGGCACACUGGGUCUCAACUGACGCUGAGGCACGAAAGCUAGGGUAGCGAACGGG
rnacentral:rRNA from 1 species